CCCCGGAGACAAAAUAGCAACAGUUUGCAAGGUGAUAUUGGUCCUCCGGCCGUAACCAUCGUCAGCAGAGUCGACUGUUUAUUUGUGCGCUUUGGCUGAUUUUAAUGUUACCAGCAGGUAGUGGUAGCAAUGAGCAGACCAAGUGCUGUGCCUCGGCUGAGAUAUUAAACCUCUAAACAUGAACUGAGCUAUGGCCUGACGUUUCGAGUCCUCAUGACCCUUCAACAGAACUCAUGAGGACUCGAAACGUCAACUCUUUUCUUCUCCGCCGAGGCUGCCAGAGCUGCUGAGUUUUUCCAGGUAAUACUGUUUUUGUUUUGGAUUUCCAGUAUCCGCAGUUUUUUGUUUUAUCUAAGCUAUGGCCUCUCGGAUCCUGAACCCAGUCAUUGACUGCUCACCAAAAUUACUAAGUACCUGGACUGUUUCUACUUAUUUUAUUCUUUCCAACCAAUAUCCUAAUUUAAACCACAAAUGUAAACAAGUGUCUGCUAAUAGUAAGAUAAAAGCAAAAUACUGCGGAUGCUGGAAAUCAGAUAGAACAGAAAACGCUGGAAAAACUCAGCAGCUUUGAAAAAGUCAGACAGACUCGAAACGUUAACUUUGUUUUUCCUGUCCCCACAGAUGCUGUCAGACCCGCUGACUUUUUCCAGCAUUUUCUGUUUUUGUCUAGCAAUAGUAACUCUACACAUAUUUACAGUGGAGGAGUUUUUCACGUAUCAUACAAAUCCAAAUUAUUUUAAUUCACAUUCCACAUAUAUUUAAAUAAGAAUGUCACUUAACAGGUGCACGUAUCUUAGGCUCAAAGAGGUAAGAGAAAGCUUUAAAAAGUAUUUUACUUUAAUUAUACCGAAAAUAGUUUUAAAGAUUCACUAAUGAGUGUGAAGUAUCAGGGACCAAACUGCAAAGAAUGAUUCUCCAGUUCCAUGGUUGUCAGAGGGUAUCCAAUGCCUGUUGUUACAAGGCUCCUAUUGUGAACCAAAGGAAAGCUGAGCGUGACUCAUACAUCCCUAGGGAUGGUAUCAAUGGAUUCGCGUCAGCCCAGAGGAGAAAGACCACCAGCUGGCUAUUUGUAAAAGCGCACAAAAACUGCAGACUGUCUGUUGCUAAGAAGACAUUAUCUGAAUAUGAGCCACUCCCAGGUUUCUCGAAUGUGUUACAGGCAUCCUGGAAUAUCUUGACAUUAAAGAACGUGGGUGUCAUUGGCAUUUCCAAUGUUUAUUAUGCAAUCCUAGUUACUCUAAUGUAGCUAAGUGCCUUGCCAGACCACAUUCAUCACAUUCAUGUAGAACUGGAGUCACAUAUAGUCCAGACUGGAUUUUUCUCCUUAACUGAAUUCAAUUUCUCAAGCAGCCACAGUGGGAUUUGAAUUGCCUUCUCUGGAUUACUAGUCCAAUGUAACCAUCUGCGGCACAGUAUGGAUUUAUCCUAGCAGGACAAAUAUGGCAGUCCUCUCAAAGUCCCCAAUUUUGUUACAACUCAUCCAAACAGAGGUGACUUUAUUGGCUUGGACAGGAUGGCAGGAUGAAAAAUGGUCACAUACCCAAGGACUUUCUGUAUGGUGAGGUAGCUGGAGCAAGAUGACCAGUGGGACAUCCAAAGUUCCGCUUUAAGGAAGCUUGCAAGCGUGACAUGAAGGCCCUGGACAUCGAUUAUCGCACCUGGGAGUCACUAGCUGGUGACAGAGGAAAAUGGCGACACAUCCUGUGGGCUGGCAUGCACCACCAUGAUGACCAGCGGCUGCUAGGCAACAGACUUCAACCGAAAACAACAACCCACAAUGACAGUUUGUAGCUUCAUGUGCAGCACUUGUGACAGAACCUCUCUCAAGCAUUGGUCUCUUCAGCCAUCAGCAAGGUGCGCCAUAUGAUGACAUCACAUCUGAAAUGGAUUUGUUGAUGGCUGUGUGUCCAUCAUCCUUUAUAGAUGGAGAGAUACUGGAAUUGAGCAAAAUCAGCUGGAAUACUAUUACAGUCCAUAUACAUUUAAUGGAUUCUGUCAUAUUCCUCUUAAUAUGAUCAAUUUGCCCCUCUCUCCACUUUUCUUUCCUGAUUUUAUGGCUCACAUUUGUGUUUUAUGUAGUACAUUUUGACAAACAGCAGGUGGCACUCCUCAGCCUAGAGUUGCACCAGCAUUCCACAAAAAUCAGGUCUCCUCUUUGGGGAUUUGGAUUUGACUGUAGUUAAUUCCUGAAAACAUUUUUUUUAAGUAAAGGUUUUUAUCUAGGGUUUACUCCUGAGGCAAGCUAAAAAUUGUUAAACUCGGAAACAACUCAGGCCUCAACAGAAAGUGAGUGAACUUAAUUAAAGAUUUCUUUAGAAUUUCUUUAAUUAUUUUGUGUAUUCCUUUAAUCCUCAGUUACCAAUUUAACAACAUAUUUCUGCACUAUUGCAAUAAAACAAGUACUCAGUUGUGUAAUUUUUUUCAGGUACCAUAGUAUACAGCUUAUGUUCCCAGGCUACCAAUUCAAAAACUUGGACUGAUAAUCUAGAUGAGUUAAAUCCCACCAUGGCAUUUUGAAAAUUUGAAUUCAUUCCAAAAGAUAAUCUGGAAAUGAAAAUGUCGGUAUUAAUGAAACUGACCACAAAGGUGUCGGAUUGUCAGAAAUUGUUCUUUAGGGAGGCUUACCUGAUCUGGCCUACACUGAUUCCAGACCCACACCAAUGUGGUUGAAAUGUAAUUGUACUAGCCCACAGUAUCAAACCACUACAAUGGACUGUUGCAGUUCAAGGAGAAAGCCCACCAGCAUCAUCUUCUCAGGGUAACUAGGCUUGGGCAAUAAAUUCCAGCCUUGCCAGCAAGAUCCAUAUCCUGAGAAGGAAUAAAAAAAAUUAUCAAAGUUACAGGUUCCCAAACUGUCCAGCAAUGCCUUGAUUUUAAAAUUAUCAUUUUUAUUUCCAAAUCCCUCCUUGGUCUUAUCCUUCUAUCUCUGUAAACCCCUCCAACUUCUGAAACCCUCCAAUUCUGACAUCUUGCACAUUCAAGAUUUUCAUUGCUCCACCACUGAAAAGAAAACUUGCAUUUAUAUAGUGCCUUUCACAACCUCAGGAUACCUCAAAGUGCUUAGAGCCAAGGAAGUACUUUUUGAAGUAUAAUUAUGAUUAUAGUGUAGGGGCAGCAGCAGCAAAUUUGCACAUGGCAAACUCCCAAAAACAGCGAUUUGUCAAUGAACAGUUAAUUUGAUUUUUUUUUUGCAAUAUUGGCUGAGGGAUGGAUAUAGACCAGGACACUGGGAAUAACUCCGCUGCUCUUCUUUGAAAUAGCGUCAUGGGAUCUUUAACCCCCACCCAGGAGACAGGGCCUUGGUUUAAAGUCUCAUCCAAAAGACAGCACUUCUGACAAUUCAGAAUUUCCUCAGUAUUGCAUUGGAGUGCCAUUGGCGACCUGCUUUCAGCCACCUACCUCCUCAAUUCUGAAAUUAUCUCCCAAACCUCGACGGCCUACCUCUCUCUCCUCCUUUAACUCAUUCCUUGAGACCUACCUCUUUGACCAAGCUUUUGGUCAUCUGUCCUAAUAUCUUAUGUGACCCAGUGUCAAAAUUAGUUUGAAAACACUCCUUUAAAGCACCUUGGGAUAUAAAUGCAAUUGUUCUUGUAUAGUGAUGUGCUAAUGAUAUGCUAAGGUUUACCAAGCUCACCACUGAAUUGCACCAUCAAUCAUGAAGUUUAAAUAAAACUGAAGUCCUAGCUACAA